AUUGAACGCUGGCGGCAGGCCUAACACCUGCAAGUCGACCGAGCGGCGGACGGGUGAGUAAUGUCUGGGAAACUGCCAGAUGGAGGGGGAUAAGUACUGGAAACGGUAGAUAAUACCGAAUACUCUCAGAUCUGCCCAGAUGGGAUUGGCUCGUUGGUGGGGUAACGGCUAACCAAGGGGACGAUCCCUAGCUGGUCUGAGGGGAUGACCAGCCACACGUGAGCUGUGAAACGGUCCAGACGCGUACGGUAGGCAGCAGUGGGGAAUAUUGCUGUAUGGGCGCAAGCCUGAUGCCGGCAUGCCGCGUGUAUGUAGAGGGCCUUCGGGUUGUAAAGUACUUUCAGCGGGGAGGCGUUCCCCUCAGAAGAAGCACCGGGUGACUCCGUGCCAGCAGCCGCGGUAAUUC
rnacentral:rRNA from 1 species